rnacentral:rRNA from 1 species
GUGGGGAAUCUUGCGCAAUGGACGAAAGUCUGACGCAGCGACGCCGCGUGCGGGAGGAAGCCUUUCGGGGUGUAAACCGCUGUCACCGGGGAAGAACGUCCACGGGAGGAAAUGCCCGUGGAGUGACGGUACUCGGGGAGGAAGCACCGGCUAACUCUGUGCCAGCAGCCGCGGUAAUACAGAGGGUGCGAGCGUUGUUCGGAAUUACUGGGCGUAAAGCGCGCGCAGGCGGCCUUUUAAGUCUCACCGUUCAAGCCCGGAGCUCAACUCCGGUCCGCGGGGGAUACUGGGAGGCUAGGGACAUGUAGGGGCGAGCGGAAUUCCGGGUGUAGCGGUGGAAUGCGUAGAGAUCCGGAAGAACACCGGGGGCGAAGGCGGCUCGCUGGGCAUGGUCCGACGCUGAGGCGCGAAAGCGUGGGGAGCGAACAGGAUUAGAUACCCUUGUAGUCC